UUACAAAACUCAACUGAUUAAAAAUUUUUUGUACUAAAUUUAUUUUAUUUGAGAUAUUAAAAUAUAAAGAGACUUGGGAUGAGUAAUAGUUACUUGAAUUUUGUUGAGGUAUUUUAUGCCUCCAACAAUAACCUACCUCCAGUAGAGGUUGCGAAAGCAGCUCGCGCGCACUGGGACACUUUACCAUCUAAAGAAAAACAUAAGUACCAUGUAGAGAGCAAUGAGACCGCUGAGAACCUCCAAGAUGACUUGGCUAUGGAAUGUGGAACAUGUGGUAAGAAAAAGAAGAACCCUUGUGCGAAAAAAAAGAAGAAAACUUGUCCCAAGAAGAAGCGUAAUCCCUGUGCUAAGAAGAAAAAACCAUCGUGUAAGAAAAAGCCUAAUCCGUGCAAGAAGAAGAAAAAGCGUCGUCAAAUUUGUUGCUAAUAAGUAACAAAUUUUCAAUGCAGACUGGAGUAAAAAUAAUUAGGUGGAAAUUUUCAACUCUUGUUUCCAGUCUGUUAAGUCCACCGGACAAAAAACAGGUCAAAAAACUUCUGUGCAAAAUUCAAUACCAAUAACUUAUUUAUUCGUACAUCAGCGUUCAAAUAGUCAAAUGACAUUUUUGUGUACGAAAGCACGCUGUGAGAGUUAGUGUAUAUUUUUAUCAGCCUCAUCUGAUCUGAUCCUGAUCCUAAUCUGAUUGAUCAAAUUCCUGAUUAAUUAUUAUUGUGGAAUUCCUCAAGAAAGGUUUAUAAGCCCUCGUAUUUGCACCAUACAAGCCUGUAUAUAUCCUGUAUUAUAUGUCCUGUAUUUUCUGUACUGCAAUGUAAGGACGAGUCAAGAAACUAUUCCCCCACAAAACUCAUUAAAAAAAUUAUCAAAAUUCAAAGAAAGCUUUUAGAGUCAUUAAGUAUUUUAAGAAAAUUGUGAGUCAAGUCUGCAAUUAUUCGAAACGAAACGAAAUCUUAUGUCGAUGUUUAGAAAAUUCAAGUAGAUUGAGGUUGUUGUGAGUCAAGUCUGUAUAUUUUUUAGAAACUAACAUAAAUCUAUUAAAUUCUAUGUAUAAGUUGUAUGUUCAUAUUAAGAAAGUUUAAGUGGAUUGAUAUUGUGACCAAUCCUGCCUACUUUUUAAGAAACUAACACAAACUUAUUAAAUUUAUUUAGUAAUAUAUAUUACAUAUUUAGGAAAAUAUCAUAAUAUUGUAAA